rnacentral:rRNA from 1 species
AGUCAACAUGCCCAGGGGACGUGGAUAACCUCGGGAAACUGAGGAUAAACCACGAUAGGCCAUGAUGUCUGGAAUGACUUAUGGCUCAAAUCUACAUGGCCCCUGGAUUGGACUGCGGCCGAUCAGGCUGUUGGUGAGGUAAUGGCCCACCAAACCUAAAACCGGUACGGGCUCUGAGAGGAGAAGCCCGGAGAUGGGCACUGAGACAAGGGCCCAGGCCCUAUGGGGCGCAGCAGGCGCGAAACCUCUGCAAUAAGCGAAAGCUUGACAGGGUUAUUCUGAGUGAUUUCCGCUAAGGAAGUCUUUUGGCACCUCUAAAAAUGGUGCAGAAUAAGGGGUGGCAAGCCUGGUGUCAGCCGCCGCGGUAAUACCAGCACCCCGAGUGGUCGGGACGAUUAUUGGGCCUAAAGCAUCCGUAGCCGGUUCUACAAGUCUUCCGUUAAAUCCAGCUGCUUAACAGUUGGGCUGCGGAGGAUACUAUAGAGCUAGGAGGCGGG